AGCUUUGCCUGAUUGCCUCUCUCCUCCGCCAACUCAUGAAAUGUUCAUAUUAACACAACUCUAUUGACCCCUUCUUCUUGAGGUCUAAUGUCCUCCCUGAUGCUCACGUUUCGGAGCUCUUCAUUAACGUUUUUGACUUAUAGUUAUAUUGAUAUUGCUUAGUCAAAAACGAGAGAUAAAUUUUCUUAAAAUGAAACAUUAUUGUCCCCCGGUA